CCUACGGGAGGCAGCAGUGAGGAAUAUUGGUCAAUGGACGAGAGUCUGAACCAGCCAAGUAGCGUGAAGGAUGACUGCUCUAUGGGUUGUAAACUUCUUUUAUAUGGGAAUAAAAUGUUCCACGUGUGGGAUUUUGUCUGUAUCAUAUGAAUAAGGAUCGGCUAACUCUGUGCCAGCAGCCGCGGUAAUACGGAGGAUCCGAGCGUUAUCCGGAUUUAUUGGGUUUAAAGGGAGCGUAGGUGGAUUGUUAAGUCAGUUGUGAAAGUUUGCGGCUCAACCGUAAAAUUGCAGUUGAAACUGGCAGUCUGGAGUACAGUAGAGGUGAGCGGAAUUCGUGGUGUAGCGGUGAAAUGCUUAGAUAUCACGAAGAACUCCGAUGGCGAAGGCAGCUCACUGGACUGCAACUGACACUGAGGCUCGAAAGUGUGGGUAUCAAACAGGAUUAGAUACCCGAGUAGUC
rnacentral:rRNA from 1 species